CCUUGAACUUGUCAGGGUUGAUCCGUCCGUCCCUUCUCUUGUCUACUGUCUCGAAGUUUGUCAACGAUGUCUAAUUUGCCGUAUGUCCUCCGUCACGCGCCGUCAGCUCUCAGGCGGUUGUCGCGCGGCAGAAGCUCACAAAAGUGCAUCAGGUCGUGUUUUAACUUCAGGUGUUUCCAUCGUGGCUCGUCGGUUCAGUUGUCACCGAGUGUUAGACAUGAAAACAAACCCAGCUCCAGAGGUUAUACCAGGUCCACCCAGACGACACCGGUCCGGAUUGGCUGUGCCUCUGGCUUCUGGGGGGACACGGCCACCUCAGUGCCCCAGCUGAUCUACAGCGGGAAGCUCGACUUCCUGGUGUUUGACUACCUCAGUGAGAUCACCAUGUCCCUGCUCACCGCCGCCAAGGCCAAAAUGCCCACUCUGGGUUACGCUCCAGACUUCGUCCAGAUCGCUCUCGCUCCGUUUAUUAACGACAUCCACAGGAAAGGUAUUCGUGUUGUCAGUAAUGCAGGAGGUGUGAACCCUCUGGCCUGUGCUGAGGCCAUCCAGGAAGUCAUCAAAAAGGCAGGCCUGGACCUCAAGGUUGCUGUGGUGACCGGUGAUGACCUCAUGCCUCAUAGGACCAGCCUGUCUGAAGUAAAGAUGGUGGAUGACGGCAGCAGACAGCAGUUACCCAGAACGCUGCACAGUUUGAACGCUUACCUCGGGGCUCUUCCCAUCCGCCGCUGUCUGGAUCUCGGGGCUGACGUCGUGGUAACUGGACGCUGUGUGGACAGCGCCGUGGCUCUGGGGCCGCUCAUGCACAGCUUUGGAUGGGAGAGGACAGACUAUGACCUGCUGGCAGCUGGGAGUCUUGCAGGUCACCUGAUCGAGUGUGGAGCUCAGAGCACUGGUGGAAUCUUCACCGACUGGCACAAAGUCCCUGACUGGGACAACAUGGGUUUCCCGGUGGUCGAAUGUUCCAGCGACGGCUCCUUCGUUCUCUCCAAACCGGCCAAAACCGGCGGCCUCGUCUCCUUCGGCACUGUGGCGGAGCAGCUGGUGUACGAGAUCGGCGACCCGCAGCGAUACCUGCUGCCUGACGUCAUCUGUGACUUCAGCCAGGUGAUCAUCAAGGAAGUACCAGGUGUAGAAGGAGGUGCCGUCAGAGUGACGGGGGCUAAAGGCCGUGCUCCAUCACAUGACUACAAGGUGUGUGCGACCUACAUGGACGGCUUCAGGGCGACGGCAGUGUGUCCAGUCGGAGGGCCGAGAGCGGCAGAAAAGGCCAGACGGACCGCGGACAGCAUCGUCAAACGGACGAAGCGUAUGUUCAGUCAGUUAGGACUGGAAGAUUUCAGCUCCGUCAACGUCCAGGUCCUCGGAGCCGAGGACACGUACGGCGCCAACGCUCGCUGCAGGGACUCCAGAGAGGCGGUGAUCUGGAUGGCCGUCCACCACAAACAGAAGAAAGCUCUCGAGCUCUUCUCCAGAGAAAUCGCUCCCGCAGGGACCGGCAUGGCUCCUGGUUUGACCGGCAUCGUGGGCGGACGACCCAGAGUGUCUCCUGUUCUGAAGCCGUUUUUCUUCCUCUACCCCAAAUCUGAGCUGAAGGUGGACGUUCAUGUCGGUGGAGAGGUUGUGGAGUCUUUUGCAGAGGCGGGACCAGACGCACCUGAGCAGGAAGCCCCUCCCACCUCAGCUGAGGACAUACCUGACACAGAGCUGCCCAGCGGACCCCACAGCUACAGACUGGAGGAGCUGGCCUACACGAGGAGCGGCGACAAAGGAGACUCCGCCAACAUCGGAGUGAUAGCUCGCCACCCCCUCUUCUUCCCCUACCUGAAAAAACACCUGACUUCCUCUGUGGUGGAGGAAUACUUCUCCCACCUCAUCCAGCCGGGGCUGAGCAAUGCUGUGACACGAUACACUCUGCCGGGGAUCCACAGCCUCAACUUUGUCCUGCAGAGAUCACUGGGAGGGGGAGGGGUGGCGUCUCUACGCAGCGACCCCCAGGGUAAAGCCUUCGGUCAGAUGCUGCUGGACCUGAAGCUAAGAGGACUGCCUGACCUCAAAUCACUGGUGGACUGAAAGAGAGAGAGAGUGAGUGAGAGACGGCGGGAGACAGAAGAGGUUAAUGUGGGAAACGGAGACGUGAAAACACUGAACAACAAGAAAUGAAAGGGACGAAAACGACCGUUGACAGCUCAACAGAAGCAGAAGGAUCAUGAAAAAGACCUUUAGACCUUUAUUCAUACUGCCCACAAUCACAGAUGAUCCUCACGGAUCUGAUCUGUACAACGUGAGAUUUAGCUCACAUCUGUCCAAUAGGACACCACCUUGAAGUGUUUUAAUGAGCUUCACCAGGAGGCACCACAACAGCUUCAACACUCAUUGGCCUCAACUGUCUGCGGUCGCCGCAGCCUUCACUACGAGUGUCCCGCUUCUUUGGAAUCAGGGUUUUGUAAUAAAACCCAAGAUUGAAAAAUAAAAACACAGAAACACGUAACAUGGGAAUGUGGAGGACUCACAUCUUAAUGGUGACGAUGAGGUCUGAGACACAUCUGUCCUGCAUAUUGCUGCUCCGCAAACUCCGACCCUACUUAUUCGGAGAAACGCUUCAUCGUUGUGGAAUGUUUUUCAGCUAAUUCUCCAUUCAACCCCAAACACUGAUUGAUGUUUACCAAAAGCGCUUCAUGUGGCCCUGAGUGUGUAGAAAAGGAUUUCCAAGCAAUUGCUGCUCAUUUGCUGAGCAUGUUCAGUCAUUUUGGAUGCUCUCUUUUGUCAGGGAAUAUUUGGGCCUAAACACGAGUUUUCAGAAUCAGCGUUGAUAGUUGUGGCCGAGUUCACGUCCGUCUCCUGAUUGUCAUCGUGUUUCACAUUUCUUUCUUUGAAGUGGUUCAAGGGGCCAGUGUGCCACUAGAACCAACAUUAACAUGGAAAUUAUGCAAGACGUGGUCUAGACUUAUGGUUUGCUUCUGAGAUAACUUUAGACUGAUUUAUAUAUCUGAUAUAUCAAAUGUUUCAUCAUGUGGUGUCAAAAUGACUUUUUGUCCAGUUUUUGCAAUGAUGGAGGUUCUUUACUGACAUCUUUCUCUAAAAUUACAACUAACAUUUUCUUCUUUAAUACUUCUUUAUAUAAUUUCUCAUACAUACAAAAGUAUUUCAAUCAGAGAAUUUAAAAAUCAGAAAAAUACCGUAAAAUUUACAGUCACAUCCCUCAAAUCUGCCCCCACCCAUGAGUUUUUGUAAAGCACUGAUGAUCAUGAAUCACAGGUUUAUUUCCAGUCAGUCUGGCGGUUGUUGAGGUUUUGCAUCCGGAAUGAAAUGUUUCUCAUCUGGCAAAAAGCAAAGGUCCAAGCAUUGAGCCUUGUGGAACACCACAGAAUCGUAUUAUUUAGUUAGUAAUUAUUUACUUAGUUUUAAAUCAUAAAAACUCUGCGAUUUCAAUCCACGGAAGGACUUUGUUCUGCUUUGUCUUUUGUCAAGACCAUGAAUCUGUGCCAAAUUCCCGGACCUAACAUGUAACAGCCAGACUCGAUCUCACUGUUUCUGUUUCUGUCUGUUGACGUCGACUCGCUUAUCCUGGAACCACACAAGACUUUUUCUGUUUUCAGGAUCAGAGAGCUGGUUUAAUUAGCGAUCUUAGAUGACUCUGAAUGUAAUUCAUAUACGACUUACUCACUUCUGCCUUCUCGUAGAAUUUUUUAAUAUAAAUUCUAGAAGCUGAUUUCUAAAUGCAGUUGAUUUCUGUGUGAUCAUGUAGAUACGAAACUGAAGAUUAAACAUAUUUUU